rnacentral:lncRNA from 1 species
AGGAAGGCAGCCAGGACUCAGCCGUGCUCUCCACAGCAGGGUUGCUGCACAUCGCUGGGAGGCAACCAGGAGCUGGUGCUGCUCUGGGAUGACAUCCACCAUGAGCUGGACAGGAAGAGGCUGGGUGUGGCCAUGCUGACCGCCAUGAAGAAGGUUCACUGCAGGAGGAGGCACCUCCCUCCCUCCUCGCCCUGCCCAGAGGGUCUAAAGAGCUGCAAGUUCCCUGGAGAGGUUCACCAGAAGCUGCAGGAUUUCCCCUGGGAUGUGGGCUCCAGCCCCUGCCAGGCCCAAAGGUGAGAGUGGAGGGUGGGGCUGCCUCCCGGAAUGCCCCUCCCCAGAUGCUCCCCUAGGAAGCUCCCACC